AGUGAACGCUGGCGGUAGGCCUAACACAUGCAAGUCGAACGGCAGCACAGUAAGAUCUUGCUCUUACGGGUUGCGAGUGGCGGACGGGUGAGGAAUACAUCGGAAUCUACUUUUUCGUGGGGGAUAACGUAGGGAAACUUACGCUAAUACCGCAUACGACCUACGGGUGAAAGCAGGGGAUCUUCGGACCUUGCGCGAUUGAAUGCGCCGAUGUCGGAUUAGCUAGUUGGCGGGGUAAAGGCCCACCAAGGCGACGAUCCGUAGCUGGUCUGAGAGGAUGAUAAGCCACACUGGAACUGAGACACGGUCCAGACUCCUACGGGAGGGAGCAGUGGGGAAUAGUGGACAAUGGGCGCAAGCCUGAUCCAGCCAUACUGCGUGGGUGACGAAGGCCUUCGGGUUGUAAAGCCCUUUUGUUGGGAAAGAAAAGCAGCAGGUUAAUACCACGCUGUUCUGACGGUAACCAAAGAAUAAGCACCGGCUAACUUCGUG
rnacentral:rRNA from 1 species